GGGGUGAUAGCUCAGUUGGGAGAGCGCACGACUGAAGAUCCACUCAGUCCGUCAGUUCAGCUGGCAAUCGUGAGGUCACCGGUUCAAUCCCGGUUCAUCCCA
rnacentral:tRNA from 1 species